rnacentral:rRNA from 1 species
UUUCCCUCAGGAUAGCUGGCACUCGCUUGAGCGAGUCUCAUCUGGUAAAGCGAAUGAUUAGAGGCCUUGGGGCCGAAACGACCUCAACCUAUUCUCAAACUUUAAAUGGGUGAGAUCUCUGGCUUGCUUGAACGUUGAAGCCACGAGAUAAUAAUUGAAAUGCAAUGGAUCAGAGUGCCAAGUGGGCCAAUUUUGGUAAGCAGAACUGGCGCUGUGGGA